CACCGCCCGUCACACCACGAAAGUCGUUUGCACCAGAAGUCGGUGAGCCAACCGCAAGGAGGCAGCCGCCCAAGGUGUGUGCGAUGAUUGGGGUG
rnacentral:rRNA from 1 species